GGACUACUCGGGUUUCUAAUCCUGUUUGAUCCCCACGCUUUCGUGCCUCAGCGUCAAUAUGACCAUAGUAAGCUGCCUUCGCAAUCGGUGUUCUGAGACAUAUCUAUGCAUUUCACCGCUACUUGUCUCAUUCCGCCUACCUCUAGUCAAUUCAAGCCCAUCAGUAUCAAGGGCACUGCGAUAGUUGAGCUACCGUCUUUCACCCCUGACUUAACAGGCCGCCUACGCACCCUUUAAACCCAAUAAAUCCGGAUAACGCUUGGAUCCUCCGUAUUACCGCGGCUGCUGGCAC
rnacentral:rRNA from 1 species